rnacentral:rRNA from 1 species
AACGUAGGUUCCGAGCGUUAUCCGGAUUUACUGGGCGUAAAGCGCGUUCAGGCGGUUUGGCAAGUCGGGCAUGAAAUCUCUCGGCUCAACCGGGAGAGGUUGUCCGAUACUUCCAGACUUGAGGGCAGUAGAGGGUGGUGGAAUUCCGGGUGUAGUGGUGAAAUGCGUAGAUAUCCGGAGGAACACCAGUGGCGAAAGCGGCCACCUGGACUGCACCUGACGCUGACACGCGAAAGCUAGGGGAGCGAACAGG